rnacentral:rRNA from 1 species
GUAGUAGCUUGCGAAAGCUGCGGGGAGCUGGCAAACGAGCUUUGAUCCGCAGAUGUCCGAAUGGGGAAACCCGGCCCGUAUGGGUCAUCCCUUGCUGAAUACAUAGGCAAGGGAGGCGAACGCAGUGAACUGAAACAUCUAAGUAGCUGCAGGAAAAGAAAUCAACCGAGAUUCCCAAAGUAGUGGCGAGCGAAAUGGGAACAGCCUUGUACUCUUUAGCAGUAUUGUUAGCGGAACGGAAUGGAAAGUCCGGCCAUAGUGGGUGAUAGCCCCGUACGCGAAAACAGUAUUGUGGAACUAGGUGUACGACAAGUAGGGCGGGACACGUGAAAUCCUGUCUGAAGAUGGGGGGACCAUCCUCCAAGGCUAAAUACUCGUGAUCGACCGAUAGUGAACCAGUACCGUGAGGGAAAGGCGAAAAGAACCCCGGGAGGGGAGUGAAAUAGAUCCUGAAACCGCAUGCAUACAAACAGUCGGAGCCUGGAAACGGGUGACGGCGUACCUUUUGUAUAAUGGGUCAGCGACUUACAUUCAGUGGCAAGCUUAACCGAUUAGGGAAGGCGUAGCGAAAGCGAGUCCGAAUAGGGCGUUCAGUCGCUGGGUGUAGACCCGAAACCAAGUGAUCUAUCCAUGGCCAGGUUGAAGGUGCGGUAACACGUACUGGAGGACCGAACCCACUAACGUUGAAAAGUUAGGGGAUGAGCUGUGGAUAGGGGUGAAAGGCUAAACAAACUUGGAAAUAGCUGGUUCUCUCCGAAAACUAUUUAGGUAGUGCCUCGUGUCUCACCUUUCGGGGGUAGAGCACUGUCAUGGUUGGGGGGUCUAUUGCUGAUUACCCCGCCAUAGCAAACUCCGAAUACCGAAGAGUGCAAUCACGGGAGACAGACAUCGGGUGCUAACGUCCGGUGUCAAGAGGGAAACAACCCAGACCGCCAGCUAAGGUCCCUAAGAUUGGCUAAGUGGGAAACGAAGUGGGAAGGCUAAAACAGUCAGGAGGUUGGCUUAGAAGCAGCCACCCUUUAAAGAAAGCGUAAUAGCUCACUGAUCGAGUCGUCCUGCGCGGAAGAUGUAACGGGGCUAAGCCAGUCACCGAAGCUGCGGAUGCACGUAAGUGCAUGGUAGGAGAGCGUUCUGUAAGCCUGUGAAGGUGUCUUGUAAAGGAUGCUGGAGGUAUCAGAAGUGCGAAUGCUGACAUGAGUAGCGAUAAAGGGGGUGAAAGGCCCCCUCGCCGUAAGCCCAAGGUUUCCUACGCAACGUUCAUCGGCGUAGGGUGAGUCGGCCCCUAAGGCGAGGCAGAGAUGCGUAGCUGAUGGGAAGCAGGUUAAUAUUCCUGCACCGUCGUAUGAUGCGAUGGGGGGACGGAUCGCGGAAGGUUGUCCGGGUGUUGGAAGUCCCGGUCCCUACAUUGGAGAUGGCACUUAGGCAAAUCCGGGUGCGUGAUUCAAGGGUGUGGGGCGAGCGACGUUAGGUCGCGAAGCAAUUGGAAGUGGUUCCAAGAAAAGCCUCUAAGCUUCAGUCAUACGAGACCGUACCGCAAACCGACACAGGUGGGCGAGAUGAGUAUUCUAAGGCGCUUGAGAGAACUCGGGAGAAGGAACUCGGCAAAUUGGUACCGUAACUUCGGGAUAAGGUACGCCCUUGUAGUUUGACUGGCUCGCGCCAGAGGAUGAAGGGGUUGCAAUAAAAUGGUGGCUGCGACUGUUUAAUAAAAACACAGCACUCUGCAAACACGAAAGUGGACGUAUAGGGUGUGACGCCUGCCCGGUGCCGGAAGAUUAAAUGAUGGGGUGCAAGCUCUUGAUUGAAGUCCCGGUAAACGGCGGCCGUAACUAUAACGGUCCUAAGGUAGCGAAAUUCCCUUGUCGGGUAAGUUUCCGACCUGCACGAAUGGCGUAACGAUGGGCCACACUGUCUCCUCCCGAGACUCAGCGAAGUUGAAAGUGUUUGUGAUGAUGCAAUCUCCCGCGGCUAGACGGAAAGACCCCAUGAAACCUUUACUGUAGCUUUGCAUUGGACUUUGAACCGAUCUGUGUAGGAUAGGUGGGAGGCUUUGAAACCGGGACGCUAGUUUCGGUGGAGCCGACCUUGAAAUACCACCCUGGUUUGUUUGAGGUUCUAACCUUGGCCCGUGAAUCCGGGUCGGGGACAGUGCAUGGUAGGCAGUUUGACUGGGGCGGUCUCCUCCCAAAGUGUAACGGAGGAGUUCGAAGGUACGCUUGGUACGGUCGGACAUCGUACCUAAAGUGCAAUGGCAAAAGCGUGCUUAACUGCGAGACCGACAAGUCGAGCAGGUGCGAAAGCAGGACAUAGUGAUCCGGUGGUUCUGUAUGGAAGGGCCAUCGCUCAACGGAUAAAAGGUACUCUGGGGAUAACAGGCUGAUACCGCCCAAGAGUUCAUAUCGACGGCGGUGUUUGGCACCUCGAUGUCGGCUCAUCUCAUCCUGGGGCUGUAGCCGGUCCCAAGGGUAUGGCUGUUCGCCAUUUAAAGAGGUACGUGAGCUGGGUUUAAAACGUCGUGAGACAGUUUGGUCCCUAUCUGCCGUGGGCGUUGGAAUCUUGACGGGGGCUGCUCCUA